rnacentral:misc_RNA from 1 species
UACUAAACCAUUCUUAUCCAACUGAAAACCACUUUUUUAAAAAGCAAUCUUUCCAAGUAAGGAGGGAAAUUAUAUCACAUAUUAUGAAACCAUGAUAAAUCAUGAUCUGUCGUUUUAUGCUUGUUCAUCCACUGGGGACUACCUUUAGAACGGGAAACAGAACAACUGAUCCUACCUUGCUUGUAGGAUUUAGAUGAUUCUAAUGCGACUACAACCUGUUCUAGUUGCGUUAUUACUUGGGCACCAUUACGCUUAUAUAAAUUUACUACUUUGUGG